rnacentral:lncRNA from 1 species
GACCCUCAUAAAGGGAUGAGUGUCCUUAUAAGAGGAGGAAGAGUCAUUUCUAUCUCUGUCUCUCUGUCCUGUCUUCCUUCUGUCCCUCCACAGGAACACAGAGGAGAGUCCAUGUGAGAGGCAGUAAGAAGGCAACUGUCAGCAAUACAAGACCCAUUUGAUGCUAUUGAGCCAUCUGACGCUGUGAUGAAGCACAGAACCCAGGUUCUGUAAUCAGACGGUGCUCCAGGUUUGGCCUCACCAGAUGCGUGAUCCUGGGCAAGAUGUUUGGCUUCCCUGAAUCCCCGUGCCCUACUCUAAAAGGAGUUUUCCCCUUCCGCUGUCCUGGAGAGAGGAGGAGAAGGAAAAGGCAGGAGAGGAGGGAUGGAGCAGACCAUGACUCCCUUUCCCACUGCAGGACCCUGAGCUGGGGGAAGGGAGGAGCUUUGCGGUGAAGGUAAGAGUAAAGCUUUUCAUCUACCUAGAUCCGUGAUCACCUAACAGUGAAUCUCCUCUAAAAAUGAGCCAAAGCAUCAAGAAAACUAUAUGAAUCUGCCUAAGG